GCAUUGGUGGUUCAGUGGUAGAAUUCUCACCUUCCAUGUAGGAGACCCAGGUUUGAUCCCUGGCCAAUGCA
rnacentral:tRNA from 1 species